GCGGAUUUAACUCAGUUGGGAGAGCGCCUUCGGGAGGUCCUGUGUUCGAUCCACAGAAUUCGCACCA
rnacentral:tRNA from 1 species